rnacentral:misc_RNA from 1 species
GAUGAAGAACGUAGCGAAAUGCGAUAAUUAAUGUGAAUUGCAGAAUUUAGUGAAUCAUCGAAUCUUUGAACGCACAUUGCGCCCGCCAGUAUUCUGGCGGGCAUGCCUGUUCGAGCGUCAUUUCAACCAUCAAGCCCCAGGCUUGUGUUGGGGACCUGCGGCUGCCGCAGGCCCUGAAAACCAGUGGCGGGCUCGCUGUCACACCGGGCGUAGUAGAUUUUAUCUCGCUCAGGGCGUGCUGCGGGUUCCGGCCGUUAAAAAGCCUUUUUUACCCAAGGUUGACCUCGGAUCAGGUAGGAAGACCCGCUGAACUUAAGCAUAUCAAUAAGCGGAGGA